CCAGCCCCGCUCCGCCCUCACCAUUGCCUCCGGCACCCUUCCCACCGAGCCCCGCUCCUCCGAGCCCGGAGCCCCCAAGCCCGGAGCCGCCAAGCCCAGAGCCACCUAGCCCAGCGCCCUUGGCUCCGUCACCGCCCUCUCCGGAUCCGCCCUCGCCUGCGCCUCCGUCUCCAGCGCCUCCCUCGCCAUUUCCCCCGGCACCCUUCCCACCAAGCCCCGCUCCGCCGAGCCCGGAGCCCCCAAGCCCGGAGCCGCCAAGCCCAGAGCCACCCAGCCCAGCGCCCUUGGCUCCGUCACCGCCCUCUCCGGAUCCGCCCUCGCCUGCGCCUCCCUCGCCAGCACCUCCCUCGCCACUUCCCCCUGCUCCCUUCCCACCAAGCCCCAACCCGCCCAG
rnacentral:lncRNA from 1 species